GAUGAACGCUAGCGACAGGCCUAACACAUGCAAGUCGAGGGGCAGCAUAAAGGUAGCAAUACUUUGGUGGCGACCGGCGCACGGGUGAGUAACACGUAUGCAACCUACCUGUAAGAGGGGAAUAACCCGGAGAAAUUCGGACUAAUACCGCAUAAUACCGCUGAACUGCAUGGUUUAGUGGUGAAACAUUUAUGGCUUACAGAUGGGCAUGCGUAUGAUUAGCUAGUUGGUGAGGUAACGGCUCACCAAGGCAACGAUCAUUAGGGGUUCUGAGAGGAAGGUCCCCCACACUGGUACUGAGACACGGACCAGACUCCUACGGGAGGCAGCAGUGAGGAAUAUUGGUCAAUGGGCGAGAGCCUGAACCAGCCAAGUCGCGUGAAGGAAGAAGGUUCUAUGGAUUGUAAACUUCUUUUGUAAGGGAAUAAAAAAGAGUACGUGUACUCUAUUGUAUGUACUUUACGAAUAAGGAUCGGCUAACUCCGUGCCAGUAGCCGCAGUAA
rnacentral:rRNA from 1 species